UACGUAGGCAGCGAGCGUUGUUCGGAAUUACUGGGCGUAAAGAGUGUGUAGGCGGUGCUCUAAGUUCGGUGUGAAAUCUCCUGGCUCAACUGGGAGGGUGCGCCGGAAACUGGAGUGCUUGAGCGUGGGAGAGGAAAGCGGAAUUCCUGGUGUAGCGGUGAAAUGCGUAGAUAUCAGGAGGAACACCUGUGGUGUAGACGGCUUUCUGGGACCAUAGCUGACGCUGAGACACGAAAGCGUGGGUAGCAAACAGG
rnacentral:rRNA from 1 species